rnacentral:tRNA from 1 species
GGGCUCUUAGCUCAGCUGGUUUAGAGCAUCUGCCUUACAAGCAGAGGGUCGGCGGUUCGAAUCCGUCAGGGCCCAC